AAGCAUCAACUGCCUGCAACUCUUCUGCAUCAAGGUCAUCCUCAAUUGACAGAGACAUAACCCUGCUGUGCCUGCGACCCCUCUUUGUGAAGGAACUCUUGAACUUGUUUGAAGCACUGAUUGCCACCUUCUUUAUAGCUCCAACCCUUUUCUUCCUUUCUUCCUCCGAAUAUUCAUUUUCAACACCUAUAUUAGGAUUAGGAUGAAGAAAAAGGCUUAGUUGAAAACGUUUAACUAUAACAUGAUAUAAAGACUGAUACUGCUUAUAUGUGACCAUGAUCUUCUUCCUUGCACUGCUGUUGUGGCUACUAACACCACAAAUCCUAGUUACCAUAUUCUUAUUUCAGUUUUAGGGAUCUUUCUGAUUUGUCAUCAACCAAAUAAUUGUCUUGAGAAAUGUCAUUGAUUGCUCAGAGACCAGCAUAACUCCAAAUCCCAUGGCUGUAAAUACUCUUAUGAAAAAAUUCUACUGCAGUUUAUAGUGUUUAUUCUCAGGUUCUUCGAUCAAAUUAUGAUUCGUAAAACCCUUUUUCAGGACUCUAUAACUUAUAUAUUAUUAAUAAACCUGUCAACAAAUUAUCUAGGGGUAUGGUAUCUUCAUUUGGAAGAGUGAUGCAUCUCAAUAUAUAUAUAUAUAUAUAUAUAUUUUAUCUACGUGUGACCUUUGACGUGCAGGUAGAUUCUUAUGCUUUCAUUUUUCUCUGUCUCACACCUUCAUGGUUAUGGAGCAUGCAAAAUAUUGAGUAUUUCAUAUUACAUUGCAGCCUAUGAACAUAAAGAUUCCAGACAAAAGAUGAUGCAGACGAAAAACAGCAAUGCAUAAAGGGAAAUAUAAAAUUUCUGCAACAACAUAGUCUUACCCAAUUUAAGAGGUUCAGGCAUCAAAGUAGUCUCACACAUGAUUAGAAUCUUGGAAGCUUAAUGACUCAGUUUUUCAGCUUCUGUUUGCUACAACGGGAAACACACACAUACACAUUGUGAUGGCGAAAUGCGAGCCACUCCGUCCAUUUUGUUCUGCUUGGGGGCAAAAUAAGAACAAGUUGCAGAAAUCCAAGAUUGCCUCUAAGAUUCUUUUAUUCGAAAUAUACAAAAAGGACUGAGCUGGAAGAAGUAGAAGUCAACACUAGCAACGCCGUGUUAUGGAGCUCCACUAAGUUUACGUUCAUGGCAGCCUGCUCUUGGACUCAUGAAACAUGAAGUGUUGUCCCAACUUUUCCUGAAAUACGAAGGAGACAAGCGAAUAAAUAUCAUCUCUGUUGAGCCAUUUUAAUUUUAGGCUCACCACCCUUGAGUGGAAUGAGUUUCAAAU